ensembl:lncRNA
GACGUGGUCAGGACCUGUAAUAAUAUUACUGCAUUGCAAACAGUGAUUGAAAACAUCGAAAAGUUACUGUGUGUUGUUGUUAUUAUUAUUAAAGUAACGUAAUUAAUAACGCGUAACAGAUAAAAACGACAAUAUAUUUACAUUACAUGCAAGAAAUGUGUUAUUGCCGUUUAAAUCACAGCUCCAGGCUGGCAGUAAAGAAAUAAACGAUUUUGAAUCGUGAUGCAUUAAUAGGCUACGUCUUAAGUCCCUUGGUCUGCCCCACAUUACUCCGGUCUAAUUAAUAACCAGUACAUCACUGUUAAGUAAAAUUGGACCCAGGGUUAUCCUGAUUUCCAUAUGCAGAUCUAUCUCCGCCGGCUGCAGCUCUGGCCAUCACCAUGCAUACAUUUAAAAGCAUCUUUUUCAGUCCCGCAUCUGAAAGCAGAUAUCUCGAUUUGAUAAUCUUUUAUGGUCUUACCGGCUAGAUUUAUAUGCGGAGGUAACGGCAUUUUAAAACAUAUAUCGUUCGACUUGCGAUUUUAGCUGUCACAUCUACGACAAAAGACGAACUGAUGUCGUUUUGUAGCCUCUUUGUUUUAUCCAAAUUAUGGUUGCGUCUUGCAGUAGGCUACAGCUCAGCGCGCGCACGGACAGAAGGGCAUGGAUUGGAGAGGCCCGCUGCGCUGCUGCUGUGGCUGCCCACACACUGCUGCAGUUGCACUGUUUAGCCGCCGGAGGGCAGCGCGGGACCGGGACCCAGUGGCAGUGGAGGGAGGGACGGCGGUCGAGAGAUCGCUGGCCGUGCAACACGAACUACAGUUCAUCUCACGGGUCAGCGCAUAUUUUAAACAGCCUUUAUUACCCUAACCCAGACCCCCGUUUUUUUUCGCUCCAAUUUCUAAAUCCGUUUACUGAGGGUCUUUUAUAAGCAGAAAUGUGAAAAGUGCUGACUGCUAUUCCCAUUUUGAGGAUAUCUGACUUCAUCAAAUUACAGUUGGGUUUUUGAAUAUUUCAUAUUUGAUAAAAAGCCCUUUACAAGCGACGCACACACACGGGCCCACCUGGGGCAUGAUCAAUUUUUAAAACUCCAAUCAUUAUGCACACAUUGACCCACAAUGUCCACUUUAAUUCAGGUAUUUAUUACGAAACCUUUGCACCCUUUUCACUUGUAUUAUUUCAAAGGUUCCUAAAGCCUUUAAUGAAAGCCUAGGCAUAUAGUGUAUGGCAUUAGCCUUCUCUGCUAUAUGUUUUAUGCUUGCACAUAAACCGACUCGUGUGCUCUUGUUGCUAUCGAACUGCACAACGUUGCCGUUCCCCUUUUAACCCCCCAUCUAAAACACUUUAAAAUGGCCAGCCUCAGACGGAGGCCAAUACUGGCCUUGGCUGUACCUUGAAUAAUGAAUAAUUCAUCUGUUUGACCUUUAGCUGAAGUUUAUUGGAGGGUGAAGGCGUCCUGCUGGCCUGCCUGCUGCCUGGCCCAGCUUGAGCUCUGUUUCCCCUCUUAGUCAUGUCCCCUUAGAUAUCCUCGUCUUCCCUCGCUGUCGCCAAGUGAGGUGUGAGGACACAAAAUGUCUUGACCAUCAAAGUUCCUCGCCGUGUCUUGGUCUUAUGUUUUGACUUGUUUUGAAGGUCAGGUUUGUUACAUCCACCUAUAUUAAACAUAACCUCUGACCCACUGUGAGCUACUCUGUAUCAUGGGAUGGUCCUCCUGUUGUAUAUCUACCUUUGUGAAACAUAUCGUAUGUAAACGCACAUCCAGUGUGCAGAAUGACAGUGAAUGAUUGCUCUGAAUUGGUUGCGUGUUCGUUUUCAAUUAAUCCUCGAUCCCAGCGUCCCAUCGGCCCCAUGAGCUCUUUCGUAAAAAAUGACUGACUGGGCUGUUUUACCUGUCGCCUUAGGCUGGUGCUACAUGUCAUUGACAUUAAAUU